AUUGAACGCUGGCGGCAGGCCUAACACAUGCAAGUCGAGCGGAGCGGCGGACGGGUGAGUAAUGCCUAGGAAUCUGCCUGGUAGUGGGGGAUAACGUCCGGAAACGGGCGCUAAUACCGCAUACUAUCAGAUGAGCCUAGGUCGGAAUGGCUAGGUGGUGGGGUAAAGGCCUACCAAGGCGACGAUCGGUAACUGGUCUGAGAGGAUGACCCGUCACACUGGAACUGAGACACGGUCCAGACUCCUACGGGAGGCAGCAGUGGGGAAUAUGGGACAAUGGGCGAAAGCCUGAUCCAGCCAUGCCGCGUGUGUGAAGAAGGUCUUCGGGUUGUAAAGCACUUUAAGUUGGGAGGCGUUACCAACAGAAUAAGCACCGGCUAACUUCGUGCCAGCAGCCGCGGUAAUUC
rnacentral:rRNA from 1 species